rnacentral:lncRNA from 1 species
CCGUGAAGGAGUUUGAAAUAUGGUAAAAUUCUAAGUAUUUGAGGAGUGUGGGGAUGUUGUGGCCGAUUUUUAGGAGUUUGUUGAGGGAAUUUCGAUUUUUGAGGGAUUUGGGGGAUUGAGGGGAGUGUUUUGGGGAGAUUUGGAUGGAAGAAUUUGGAUAAAACCUAAACUAGUAGUGGUAAUUUCAGUUACUCUCUCUUUCUCCCCAAUUUUCUGAUAGCUUUUGGUUUUUCUCUUUACUUCCAUCUUUUAUUUUUUCUUCUUAUUUUUUUUACUUUUGCUGUCGUUCGGUUCUUCACAACCUCCACCUACUGCCGAAAUUUUGAGAUUUCCAUGCUCUUUUUUUGUUCUCUCCAAGCCGAAUGAUAACUACUUCUUUUCCAAAUCUCGGUUGCUCCUAAUCUUUGGACAAUUUGAAU